rnacentral:tRNA from 1 species
GCCGCCGUGGUGCAGGCGCUCGCGCUGGUGCCUGCCGGGCGGUUCGUCGACACGGUCGGGCGGCGUCCGGCGAUCGUGUCGUCGUUCGCGGUG